AGCAGCCGCGGUAAUUCCAGCUCCAAUAGCGUAUAUUAAAGUUGUUGCAGUUAAAAAGCUCGUAGUUGAAUUUCGGGGUUAGCAGGUCGGUCGUGCCAUCGGUAUGAACUGGUCUCGCUGAUCCCUCCCUCUUGAAGAACUGUGAUGCCAUUAAUUUGGUGUCGCAGGGAAUCAGGACUGUUACUUUGAAAAAAUUAGAGUGUUUAAAGCAGGCUCACGCUUGAAUACAUUAGCAUGGAAUAAUGAAAUAGGACGUUUGAUCCUAUUUUGUUGGUUUCUAGGAUUGACGUAAUGAUUAAUAGGGAUAGUUGGGGGCAUUAGUAUUCAAUUGUCAGAGGUGAAAUUCUUGGAUUUAUUGAAGACUAACUACUGCGAAAGCAUUUGCCAAGGAUGUUUUCAUUAAUCAAGAAUGAAAGUUAGGGGAUCAAAGACGAUCAGGUACCGUCGUAGUCUUAACCAUAAACUAUGCCGACUAGGGAUCGGAUGAUGUUAAUUUUUUAAUGUACUCAUUC
rnacentral:rRNA from 1 species